ensembl:snRNA U6 U6 spliceosomal RNA
CUGUUUACAAAAACAGAGAGAGUGCUUAAAUUGGAAUGAUACAGAAAAGAUUAGCAUGGCCCCUGCACCAAAGAUGACAUGCAAAUUCGUGAAGCAUUCUAUUAAAAC